rnacentral:lncRNA from 1 species
UGAAGGCAAAGGUACAGCAAUAUGGAGCAGACCUGUCUGUAACUGGUACUGAACAAAAGCUCUUCCAUCAGAUCACAUUCUGAAAUAGAGGAAUUCAGCAGCUCAGGAUCUCUCUUUUGGAGCAGCGCAUGAGAAUCAUGUUGUGGCUUGCAGCCAUUGACCUUCUGAUCAGCUGUUAUUAUGAAGUCUGCUUUCCCACCCAGUGUUUGCUGUGGGACGCCAACAAGAUGAUAGGAGGAACAGCUUUCGGUGGUAAGAGCAAUUUUACAGCUGUGGAGAUUGAGGGUCUCCCAAAGUGUUCAC